rnacentral:rRNA from 1 species
GCACAAGCGGUGGAGCAUGUGGCUUAAUUCGAUGCAACGCGAAGAACCUUACCAGGGCUUGACAUGCACGGUGCAGCCGUAGAGAUACGGUGUCCUUUGGGGUCGUGCACAGGUGGUGCAUGGUUGUCGUCAGCUCGUGUCGUGAGAUGUUGGGUUAAGUCCCGCAACGAGCGCAACCCUCGUCCUGUAUUGCCAGCAACACCUUUCGGGGUGGUUGGGGACUUGCGGGAGACUGCCGGGGUCAACUCGGAGGAAGGUGGGGAUGACGUCAAAUCAUCAUGCCCCUUAUGUCCUGGGCUGCACGCAUGCUACAAUGGCCGGUACAGAGGGCUGCGAUACCGUGAGGUGGAGCGAAUCCCGUAAAGCCGGUCUCAGUUCGGAUCGGGGUCUGCAACUCGACCCCGUGAAGUCGGAGUCGCUAGUAAUCGCAGAUCAGCAACGCUGCGGUGAAUACGUUCCCGGGC